AUGACGGAGGAUAUCCGGAACUUCACCGCCGCCUGCUCGAGGUUUUUGUGCGGGACACUAAUAGGAACUGAAUCACUGUGGUACACUUUUGGCAGCGGCACCAGACUGCACGUUGGAAAAAACGUCUCCCCCACCCUCAUGGUCCUGCCCCCCUCUAGCGUGGAGCUGUCCAGCAAGAGAACGGCCACGCUGAUGUGCCUGGCCAACAAGGGCUUCCCCUCAGACUGGACGCUGCGCUGGAAAGUGGACGGUAGCAGCAGGAGCUCGGAGGCGAGCGGCGGGGUCCUGGAGAAGGACGGCCUGUACAGCUGGAGCAGCACCCUGACUCUCUCUGUGGACGAGUGGAACAAGGCGGGGUCACUGACCUGUGAGGCCACCCAGGGCUCCCAGACUCCGCUCACUCACACACUGAGGAGAGAGCAGUGUUCUGAGUAGCGCCUCACACACUCCUGUGUAGAGCGGCUGAAUGCUCUGUUUUUACUCUCUUCUGCACUCAGCUCUUCUCUUUCUUACUCACUGAUU